rnacentral:rRNA from 1 species
UACGAAGGGGGCGAGCGUUGUUCGGAAUUACUGGGCGUAAAGGGCGCGUAGGCGGCGCCGGAAGUCAGGCGUGAAAGCCCCGGGCUCAACCUGGGAGGUGCGCUUGGGACUCUGGUGCUGGAGUUCGGGAGAGGAGCGUGGAAUUCCCAGUGUAGAGGUGAAAUUCGUAGAUAUUGGGAAGAACACCGGUGGCGAAGGCGGCGCUCUGGACCGAGACUGACGCUGAGGCGCGAAAGCGUGGGGAGCGAACAGG